AGAUGGACACGCGGAUAUUCACACGGAGAAGAAGGACAUGUGACAACAGAGAAAGAGAUUGGUGCACAAUCUGAAGAAUGCCAAGGAUUUCCAGGAGCCACCAGAAGCUAGAAAGUGGCAAAGAAAGAUCUUCCCUAGAGUCUUCAUGGGAGCAUGGAAGUGGACAUCUACAGCAACAUAACCCAUAUCCUCUGAAGGAAUUGGAGUUUGAGCCCAGACAUCUCUGGAAUGAAGUUCUUAUCCACCCUACCAGGUAGCCACCUGGACCAGAUGCUUACCAAAGGUG
rnacentral:lncRNA from 1 species